CCGCUAUUCAAAAUGGUCACUAUUUUAUUACACUUACUGCUGUGUUGGAUAUAGUGGCAAUUUUGCACAUUAGUGAUGUGGUGGACAGCAAUAUGCCUUGCAAUUGACAAAUCAAAUUUCAGGGUAUCAUAAGGUAGCUAAAAGGAAAUCUAGUCUCUACACUCUUAUUUUUACUCAACUACUCAAUUUCUCUCCCUCUCUUUGUCCCUAUUCAAUGUUUUCUCUGUAAUUUCUUGAACCAUUGGUUUUUUAAAUAAUCUUGUAUUGAAAUAUCAUUGCUCUAAUUAAACAGGUUUAGUUAAUUUCUGAACAUCGUAUUUAACUGGGUUAAUGUGCAUGAACUUUUCAAGUCAUUUAUUAGUGAAUUUUGUAAAUACCGUGAAAUUCUGGAUGUAAUUUGUACGGGAUGUUGAUUUGGAUGAAGGGGUAGCGCAAUUUGUAAGUUUGUGGAGCCUGGAGAUCCUGAGUAUAAUCCGCCUGUCCAAAAGGGCAAAACUCCUUGAGAUAUGAUGAGUGAUGAAGGAGCUAUAUAAACUGUAGCAAGCUGCAUGAAGUAGUGAGAUACAUGAAGGAGCUAUAUGAAGGAGUGAUGAAGGAGCUUCAAAGGGAAGAUGCUUUUAUCUGCACACCUUCGAAAGAAUUCAAGUUUGUAUUUUUGGAGUUUGAGGACAUGUGUUAAUAUAUUCAAACACAUGUCUUAGUUUUGUAAUGAAUGUAUUGACUUUACCACAUCGAUCUUAUAUGCAUUUGUUUUUAUUAAUGAUAAUACAAAAUAUUCAUUAAACAAUGCUUAGUGGAAA